rnacentral:lncRNA from 1 species
GUCCUUAUUCAAAUUGCCUAGAGCAAAGCUUCUUUGCUAGCUAAAGGUCAACUUUCUAUGCAUAAUGUAGGUAGAGCUACGUCAGUAUUUCUAUAAACAAAGAUAUUCUUUUGGAGCUCUACAAAUGAAUCAAAAAGUAUAAAAAAUUUUAUGAAAUUAAGUACAUCGUAUGGAAGGGACGCACUGACAUGCUACAUAAAAAGGAGACUAAAGAUCGAAUGCUAGAAGACUUUAAAUAUAAGUUCC